AAAACAAAAACCUCAUCCGUUUGACCCCGCAUAUAUGUGGUGGGUUCAUAUUUUCCCACCACAUGUAGCAAUUCUGCAUUGGUAGGACGUAGGAGUGCAAGUGUUGGCAUACCUCGUUGGCAAACUUUAGCCCGGUCAUAUCAGAGACUGAGCAUCGGAAUCUGAAUAGGUGCAAGUGAAACAAAGUAGGAUUAUGUUCAGAUGGAACUACUAUCAUAUAAGUGGAGUUUAUGCGAUAACGAGAGUUUGCCUUGCACCGUAGUUUUCCCUUCUGUUGUUGGAUUUGCACUAAAUUGUGUGGAUAUCUGCAGGUGCCAUUUUCACUGCACUGGUAUAGUCAUCACUGAAAAGAUUGUACUUUGUUUUAUUAUAUAUAAAGGAUUCUCAAGAUACUCAUAGCUUCGAAGUUGGAUGGAACGGUGUUUGACAGCUAUAAUAUUCUGAAAUUGCGCAAUCUUACUAUUACUAAUUGGAGCCCCUUUUGAAGCCUCCGGGUGAGGCCACCUAGGAUCUUAGGUGGACACUUUAAAAAAAAAGAGAAAUCCUAUACAUUCUCGUAAAAAGGCAAAAUAUCUGACCAUCAAUCGGUAGACUCAAAUCAUCAUAGCCAUUGGAACUAUUAUGUUUUCUAAAAUAUUACCCACAUAUGCUAUUACGAUAAUAAUCUAAAAUAACCCCCUAAAUCUAUAUCUAAAUUACCCACCUCUACCAUUAUAUAAAUAAACUAAAGUAACCCCCUAAUCUUUAUCAAAAUUACCCACUUCUGCUAUUAUAAAAAUAAUUUAAAAUAACCCCCUAAAUUUGUAACUAAAUUUCCCACCACUAAUACUUCAAAAAAUAACUUAAAAUAACCCCUUAAAUUUGCAUCUAUAUUAUCAACAUAUUCUAUUAUUACACAUAACAUGAGGUAACCCUAAAUUUGAAUCCAAAUCACCUUAAUUGAAAAUAUACACCAAAAUAUGAUUUUAAAUCCUCUAUUUCUUACUAUAUUGGUAUAUGAAAUAAUAAUUAAGGUAUAUACGCUCAUUUAUAAAGAUAUAGAGGAAGUGAUGAGAAUAUAGAUUUCUAUGUUAAAAUUAUAGCUCAAACUGAAAAGUGAAAAGUUAACGAUUAUAAAUAUGGAUGGAACCGUUAUAGAGUAAUUAUGAACCAAAAUUUAUCACAAUCGGAUGAAGAUAUAUCUAUAUAAGUAUUGUGCUCGAAUAUUUAACAAGUGAUAGGUAGCUCAAGGUAAUAGUUUUGUAGUAUUGUGAUCUCAUUUUUUUCCAUUGGAGACUCGCAUUAGUUCUCACAAGAUACACUAGAAAAAAAAUACAAAUUCUAGAAAUUCUCACAAAAAUCAGAAACAUCAAACAUGAAUCCUGUAAAAUCUAAUAAUCAUAGUCAUUGGUUUAUUAUAUUUUCUAAAAAGUUCUUGGCGACUAUCAUUAUGAAAAUAUUCUAAAAUAAACCCUAAACCUAUAUCUAAAUUAUCAAACUCUACCAUUAUAAAAAAUAAUCUAAAGUAACCACAUAAUCGUCAUCCAAAUUACUCAUGCAUAUCAUUGUAAAGCAUAACUUAAAAUGCCAUUAUUUGUAUCUAAGUUACCCACGUGUAUUGUUACUAAAAAUAUCCUAAAGUAAACACCUAAAUCUUAAUCUAAUUAUCUUCAUGUGCAUCAUAUAGAAAUGUCCAAAAGUAAACUAAUAUAUGAUUCUAAAUUACCUAUUUAUGUCAUUGUUAAUAUAGAAAUGCUAAGUUAAGGUAUAUAUGCAUGAUGAGUGUAACCAUGUAGACUAUUUAUACAUGUAUGUGAGGAAGUAAUGUGAUUUUUAUGCUAAAUGCAAUGCAUGGAGGUGCGAUACAAAAUGAAAAAGUGUGAAUGUGGAUGAAAAAGUGUAUAGAGUAAUUAAUAAUUAAAAAUCAAUUACGAUCGGACAAAUAUAAGUACGCGUCUAUAUGAGUAUUAUGUUGAAGUAUUGAAAAAAUGAGAGAUUAUUAGGUAAAUAAUUUUAAUUAUUAGCUAGAAGUUUGAUUUCUAAAUUUUUUUAAAUGUAAUAGUUUUUAAAAAUAUUAGCAGGAGCAUGGGUUAAUAGACUAGUGCUGAUAAUUUAUAGAGGACCAGGUCCGUGGCCACUGACAGCCGCCACAGUAUUCUGCAGCGAUCGUUCCUUUUUCAGGUCAAGAACGUCACUGUUCUUCCCUCUCGGGCCUCAAAACAAAAGGAGGACUCUCGGACAAGAGGGGACUUCAGACUUCAGACCAAUCAUGCAACGUGAGGCUAAGAUUUCACUGCCGAAAUUUCGUCAUAGGGCGGUUCAGCUGACGACUUUUCUGAUUGAUCCAACGGAUGAAGUCACAUCUGAACCGAUAGGAAACAAACGAAACUUGCCGUGGUUGCUCCGCAGCCACCAAAAAAAGGCCGGACAGACACUUCAGAGCGUUGUAAACUCGCAAUGAUCACAAGCUGAGCAGUAUCCAAUCUGUUCUUCGUCUGUAAGUACGAAGUAGUCAGCAGAGCAGGAGUAGAUGUCUCCUUACAUGCUUGCCGCCGCCGCCGGCGUGCUUAUCGUCUUGCUCUAUGUCGUCAAGAACCGUAGGCGCGGCAAGCUCCCGCCGUCGCCCCCGUCGCUGCCGCUGAUCGGCCACCUCCACCUCAUCGGCCGCCUCGCACACCGCUCCUUGCACGAGCUGCAACUUCGCUACGGCGGCGGCCUCCUCUUCCUGCAGCUCGGGCGCAGGCGGACGCUGGUCGUGUCCACUGCCGCGGCGGCCGCAGACCUGUUCAGGAACCACGACCUCGCCUUCGCCUCCCGCCCGCGCAGCGUGGGAGGGGAGAGGCUCAUGUACGGCUGCAAGAACGUGUCCUUCGCGCCGUACGGUGAGAGCUGGCGCAGGGGCAAGAAGAUCGCCGUAGUCCACCUCCUCUCCCCGCGCCGUGUGGAGUCGUUCGCGCCCGUGCGCGCCGCCGAGGUGGCCGCGCUCGUCGCGCGGGCCCGCCGCGCCGCGGAGGCGGGGGAGGCCGUGCAGCUGAGGGAGCUCCUGUACGGCUACACCAACGCGGUGGUCACCCGCGCGGCGACCGGUGCCGCCGGGGCGACGGCCGAGAAGCUGAAGCAGCUGAUGGGGAACUCAGCGGCGCUGAUGGCGGGCUUCCAACCGGAGGACGUGCUGCCGGACGCGCCGGCGAGGUUUGUGAGAUGGGCGACGGGCCUCGAUAGGAAGAUAGACGACAUGGCCGAGGCGUGGGACAAGUUCCUGUCGGAGAUAGUGGCCGCGCACAAGGAGAAGGGGGCCGGCGUUGCAGGGGAGGAGGACGAGGACUUCUUGGACGUCUUGCUCCGGCUGAGGGAAGAAGGCGCCGACGGACUCGAGCUCACAGACGAUCGCAUCAAAUCCACCGUCGAGGUCAUCUUCUCAUAAAUACUCUUUCGAUUUCUCAACAAAUGUCUACAAAUCUUGUUAUUCUGAUCGGUGCUAGAUUCUUGCGUCUGCAGGACAUGAUAGCCGCGGCAACUGAAACAUCAUCACAGACGCUGGAAUGGACCAUGGCAGAGCUCGUCGCCAACCCCCGGGUGAUGGCCAAGCUCCAGGACGAGAUCGCACGAGCCGCCGCCGCCGAUGAGCCUGCCAUCGCGGAAUCGGACUUGAACAAGAUGGGAUACCUGAAGGCGGUGUUCAAGGAGGUGCUCCGGCUCCACGCGCCGGCGCCGCUCCUCGUCCCGCACGAGUCAACGGCGCCCGCGGUCGUGCAGGGCUACGAGAUCCCGGCCAAGACCUCGCUCUUCGUCAACGUGUGGGCGAUCGGGCGGGACCCCGCUGCGUGGGACGCGCCGGAUGAGUUCCGGCCGGAGCGGUUCGUCGGCGGCAGCGCCCCGUUGGACUUCAGGGGGACCGACUACCAGCUCAUCCCGUUCGGCGCCGGCCGGAGGAUCUGCCCCGGCAUCAACUUCGCGCUGCCGGUCCUGGAGCUCGCGCUCGCCAGCCUCCUGCGCCACUUCGACUGGGAGCUCCCCGCCGGCAUGCGCCCGGCCGACCUCGACAUGGGCGAGGCGCCGGGGCUGACGACGCCGCGGCGGGUUCCCCUUGUCCUAGUCCCCAAGUGCAAGACGCUCGCUUAGCCACAGCACUGCAGUAAUAAUCAACUAGCACUAGCUUUUUUAUGCAAAUAUUUAGAUAUUUAUUUCAAAGUAAAUAAAUAUAAAUAAUUGUAUUUAGUCGUUUCAUGGUAACAUGCCAAUAUAUUAUCAUAUAUUAUAUUGUUAUAUUUUGUGUCUUAGGUUUUAAAUCUCCAGCUAUUGUUGUCGCUAUAGCCGGCUAUAACUGUUUGAGGCUGAUCAAACUAUUUGUGUUUAUGUACAACUUAGUGACUAUAGCCCGCUGUAGCCUUAUUUAGCUCCAUUAUAGCUGUUUUAGAGAUCAUUCGCUAAAUACCUUUAGCCGGAGAUUUAAAACCUUGGUAUAUAUUUUAACAUGAAUUAAAAGAAAAGGCAAUACCUUAGAUAUAAACAUAAUUUCUAAAAUUUGCUGAAGCGAUAUAAAUAUUUAUACAUUUUUGACAUGAAUACAAUUUUUUUAGAUUUUUUAUUUGAGACGUACAUUUUUGUUUGUAAGUUUUUGCUAUGAUUCAAAAAAUUCUUAUAUUUAAGUAGAAUGUUCAAUAUAUAUUAUAUAAGUAAUAAUUAUAAUUAAAUUUUGAGUUUGUAUAUCCAAAUCUACUUUCCUUUCUUUAUUCUCCAAUCAUUGGUCGCUACAUCCCCGUACAUGCAUGAUCACAUUUUGUCUUAGCUGUUGCACUUUCUCAAUAUAAACUUUGCCAUUGGGUCAAUAAAUACGUUAUUGUGGCUGCCAAGCUAUAUCCUUAGUCUUUGUGAUCAUAACCUCUCUCUCUUGCUUCUGCUCUGAAGGACCGUUGUCCGCUAUGUUGUGGUCACCAAAGACACAUCCUUGAUCGUGACUGUUGUUCCCUCUCAUCGGACAUUACAUGCAGCAUGCUAUGGUGCGCACGCCAAACAUCAAUUUUCUUCACUAUUUAAUAUAGUCAUUUUGGAAUUACUGCCUUGUGGUUGGUGUUGCGCCCCCCCCAAGUUGCUCCACCAGAUCAUCCACUACGUUAUUGGAUCCAACCAUCAUUCCAUUAAAUCGACGCCCUCUCCAUCUCCUGCUAGCGCCCUGUCGCCCAAUUAUAGGCAACAACUACAGUGAACCGAUGAGUUUUGGACCAAAGAACAGACGGUGUCGAGCAUACAUCCAUAGGCCCACCUGAAGUUUUGUACAGAUCCAUACGCGAAGUACACCAAGACAUAUCAGGACAUGGAGACUACGAUACAGGGUGACGUAGUCUAUAUGGACUACCAGGAGACUAGUCAUGGAUAAGGAAACUACUCUUCCGAGUUAGAGUAGCACUCUAUAGUCAUAUCCGAAAAGUACUCUUGUAAAACAACUAUCUUGUAACCCUACUCCCUCGGUAUAUAAGGGCGGGCAGGGACCCCCUCAAAACAAGUUCAAUCCAAUACAAGCAAACAACACACAGGACGUAGUGUAUUACGUGAUCUAACAAUCCGAACCUGUCUAAAUCGCGUGCCUACAUACACCAUCGAGCUUCUGAUUUCGACGACACCCACCAACUAAUACUCUACCUCGGGUACUCCCUUGGUAGGUUGCCGGGUUAAAACACCGAAAGCUAGCGCUCCAGGUAGGGGUAGUCGCCAAAAUUCUCCAGGCGGUUCGAUGGCUCAAAUCAUCACCAAGCCUACGAUCGCGUUCGAAGCCGGUGCGACGUUCGUCUUCUGCUCCUGGGUUUGCAUCGCCAAUGGCGCUGGAGGCUUCCACCGCUACAUCGUAGAGGCCACGGGGAAGAAGCAACUCAACGUCACCCUUUGUUGACAAGCUACGGAGGAUUUCGUCGAGAAAUUCAGCAAAAUUUUCAAUCUGACAAACAACGAGCUUGAGUACAACUCGGGCUCUACAAGAACUCGGACUGGCUCCCACGAGCACGCAAACAAGUCAUCGUGUGGACCGAAUCAAACUUCGAGUCAAUUCCCGUGUGGACUCCGAAACGUGGCUUUGGUUUAUCAAGCAACUCUAUCCAAGUCACAAUCUAGAUCGGAGACGAUUAAAGACCACAACGUCAACUUUUACUCGGAUUCCAUUGAAGAAAUUCCUUUAUCAGGUCCGUAGCAGGGCUUGGUGAUUACUUCAACACCCCAAGGCAGAUUCGUCUACUGGCCGGGCAUGAAGCCGUCCUUCCUUGACCAGAAUGACGAGUCACGGAUGAUCGCCAACCUUGAGAUCCUACCAUACCAAGAAGGAACACCCUUGUCGCCAAUCUAUGAAGAAUAUGGCUCCACAAAAGUCAUCACCUCAAGCUCUGGCAGCUAUACUCCAGAAAGAACUCUUCGCUUUAAUCACAAACGGGGAAGAAGGUGAACAACAUCAACCAAAAACUCCACGACGAGAGCAUCACCCAGAUGAUGUAUCACAAGAUGAAUUAUCUGCCAAUGUUGUUGAAGAAAUUGAAAGCCAAAGGAUUCAUCGGAAGGCAAGAAAUGUGCAGAGAGCUGAACGGUGCCUUCAACUAGCCGCCCAGGUCCCAAUGAUGAACCUCGAUAGAGCAUUCGAAGCAGUGCAAACGUGGCAACACAAUACGCCACUCGCCACUAUCACCUCCAUCGACCUCAUUGCUCGUGCUAUGCCUCAAGACAAGUACAGUACUCUGAUAGUACAAUUGGCGGAACACGCCUACGAACUACUCAACAGAGAGACUCCAAUUCCAUCGGUAUGUCACACCCCGUUGGGGUGUAGUCAGCAUGGCAGCAGCAGAGAUCACGUAGGACCUUUAGGUCGACCACGUGAAAACACCAGACAACACGGGGGCGCAAUUGAGCCUCCGAGGCAAAACAGUGGUCUACUCGAAAGCCCAAGACAACACAGAGGUGCGCCUAAGGGUAGUCUAACAGCUUCUAGGGGAGGCGUUCGCCACCAUAGAUCUGACCCCGAACCCUCGCUCAUCAAUGGUGAUCUUAGAAAUAAAAUCAACAGCAACCGUGAUGCACGCAACAUGAUCAAUAACCGGCAUUUGGAGCAUGAACUUGAAGAAGACUAUAGGGGUGAUGACAAUGAUCACUUUCCUACCUUCACAAGUCGGGUUAGGAGCACAAUGUUAUCAGAGAAAUUCAAACCUUUGGGUAUCUCCAAGUACGACGGCAAGCAAGAUCCAGUUCAGUGGCUCCGCUGCUACUCGUUGGCGGUCUAGACUGCAGGGGGGAGUGACGACACAAAGGUCAUCUACUUUCUUGUAUGCAUGGAAACUACGCCACCGACCUGGCUCGAAUCCUUGAAGCCCAAUUCCAUCAGCUCUUGGCAAGAUUCGAAGAAAGCCUUCACCAGCAACUAUGCAGGGACAAUGCAGCACUCCGGUAAUAGGAUCGACUUGGCACAAGUCAAGUAGCAACGAGAUGAAUCACUACGUAGCUAUCUAUGACGUUUAUUUAAUAAAAGGCCACAAUUCUGGACAUCUCAGAACCAGACAUGAUAGAAUGCUUCCAGAAUGGUCUCUAUGAUUGCCGCAUGUUCCAAGACUUCAGCAGGCGUCGUCCCACGGAUGUCAAGGCACUCAAGAUCAUGGCCCAGUCAUGGGCAGACGAGGAGGAUAAAGAACGCAAGAGGUUUGACUCAAAUUGCAAUCGCGGCCGUGACAACAACAAUAAUCACGGCAACAACCAAGAGCUAGAUAGAAACCGCAACGGCGACCACCGAAACAACUACCCGGCCAACCAAAACCGCAAGCGCAAGCCUGACAAUACCGUCGCAACAAUGACGAACUCAAGUAAGAAAGGGUCUAGCAGAAACGGAGAGGCCCGCAUUCAGCGAGCUUCUGAAAAAGCAGUGUCCAUGGCACCCGCAUUGCAAGCACAUUGCAAUAGAUUGUUACAGCCUGCGCAGGGUAAUGAAAGACUGACUAGAACCCCCAAACAAUAACAACGACAAGGGAAAAGGUAAGGUAGACGAAGGCGAAGAUGGUGAAGACAAGUUUCAAACUCCGUCCAAGACCGUCAACGUCAUCUUUGAUGGGAUCCCAGGCACUUUCUCUAAGCGGUCCCAGAAAGUAGUACUCAGAGAGAUCGUGUCCAUUAAGCCCGCUACUCCCACACCCCUCAAGUGGUCCAAGGUACAGAUUACCUUCUCUAGGAAAGACCAAUGGACAAGUUUCUCAGAACCAGGACAGUUCCUCCUCGUCCAGGACCCAGUUGUCGCAGGCUUAAGACGCACUAAAGUACUUAUCGAUGGUGGUAGUGGCCUCAAUGUCAUUUUCGCCACAACUCUAAAGAAGAUGGGCCUUGACAUUACUAACAUGCCCACCCCAACGAACUCCCCGUUCUAUGGGAUCAUCCCAGGCAACGCAGCUAUACCGCUUGGAUAAGUAGUCCUACCGGUUACCUUCGGAACCAAAGAACACUACUGAACAGAAUACAUCUGGUUCAAGGUGGCGGACUUCGAGACUUCUUAUCACGCUAUCCUCGGAAGACUAGCACUGGCCAAAUUCAUUGCAAUCCCACACUAUGUUUACCUGCUCCUGAAGAUGCCAGAAUCCAAGGCAGUACUCUCCCUCCGUGGAGACUUGUGAAGGUCAUACGAAUGUGACACAGAAGCUAUUGAGUUGGCGGCGACUACUCAAGUACCCAGCUCGAUGCAACAAGUCUUCACCGCUUCAAAAAAGCUCUCCCCGGCAGAACUCGAAAUCCCGGAGAACAAGUCGGGAGCUACUAAUGUCAAGCCGGCAAGUGAUGUGGACUUCAAAGCCAUUGACCUUGAGACCAGCGACUCCUCCAAGACAACCCUGAUUGACAAAGGGCUGGAUGCCAAAUAGGAAAGCGCGCUCGUCAGCUUCCUUUGGGCAAACCGAGACAUUUUCGCAUGGAAACCGGCAGAUAUGCCAAGUGUGCCCAAGGAGUUGAUCGAGCACUCACUCAACGUAGAUCCUAAAGCUACUCCAAAAAGACAACGACUACGUAGAUUCACCCAUGACAGAAGACAAGCUAUCAAGAAAGAGCUAGCAAAACUACUCGCGGCAGGCUUCAUAAAAGAAGUUUUCCAUCCUGAGUGGCUGGCCAACCCAGUCCUAGUCCGCAAGAAGAACAACAAUGAAUGGAGGAUGUGUGUGGACUACAUAGACCUCAACAAGCAUUGUCCUAAGGAUCCCUUCAGGCUCCCAAGGAUUGAUCAAGUUCUUGAUUCCACAGCUGGAUGCGCAUUACUCUGCUUCCUGGACUGCUACUCAGUAUAUCACCAGAUAGCCCUCAAGGAAGAAGACCGAGUAAAUACUGCGUUUAUCACCCCUUUUGGAGCUUUCUGCUACAAAACAAUAUACUUCGGGUUGAAGAACGUAGGAGCAACGUAUCAACGUGCCAUCGAGAUGUGCUUUGAGAAACAACUCCACCGUAACGUGGAAGUGUACGUGGAUGACGUGGUAGCCAAGACCAGAAAUCUAGAUGAUCUCAUCGCAGACAUGGAAGAGACCUUCACCAGCCUGCGAGCAUUCCGGUGGAAACUCAACCCUACAAAGUGCGUCUUCAGCGUACCGUCAGGAAAACUACUCGGGUUCAUCAUCAGUCACAGAGGCAUUGAAGCAAACCCUGAGAAAAUCACCGCCAUUACCAAUAUGCAAGCUCCGUCCAGCAUUAAGGACGUGCAGAAGCUGACAGGAUGCAUGGCGGCUCUCAACAGAUUCAUUUCAAAACUUGGAGAACGGGGCCUCCCCUUCUUCAAACUACUCAAACGGAAGGACAAGUUCCAGUGGACAGAGGAGGCAAAUAAGGCUCUACUACAACUGAAAGAUUUCCUAUCAAAGCCACCAAUUCUCACAGUGCCAACUCCAAACAAGGACUUGUUGUUAUACAUCGAUGCUACUACUCAUGUCGUAAGCACGGCAAUAGUAGUCGAAAGGUCGGAACCAGGUCACGUAUACAAGGUCCAGCAACCAGUCUACUUCAUUAGUGAAGUACUCUCAGAUUCCAAAACUCGGUAUCUACCAGUCCGGAAGCUGCUCUACGCUAUACUACACACCUCGCGAAAAUUGCGAUACUAUUUCCAGGAACACAAGAUCUCCGUGGUCACUGAUUUCCCCCUAGGCGAAAUUCUCCAUAAUCGAGACGCCACAGGAAGAAUCUCAAAAUGAGCUGUAGAACUCGGAGCGCUCUUCCUAGAAUUCAGGCCACGAACCGCGAUCCAGUCUCAGGCUCUUAUCGAUUUCAUGAUAGAGUGGAGAGAAAAUCAACUACCAACACCAGCAGAACGCCUAGAGCAUUGGGUCAUGUACUUUGAUGGGUCACUCAAGCUUGAAGGCGCCGGCGCAGGAGUACCCUUGAUAUCCCCAAAGGGUGAACAACUCAAAUAUUUUCUCCAGAUAUUCUAGGAGGUGUCUAAUAACGAAGCCGAGUACGAAGCGCUACUACAUGGGUUAGGCCCAGCAGUAUCUCUGGGGAUCAAGAGAUUACUAGUUUACGGUGACUCACUAGUAGUCAUCAAUCAAGUCAAUGAUGAGUGGGACUGCAACAAAGAGAACAUGGACGCGUAUUGCAAAGAAGUCCACAAGUUGGAAAAUAAAUUUUCAGGCUUGGAAUUCCACUGUCCGUGAUAACUAUGUCGCUGCAGACGUCCUGUCCAAGUUGGGUUCAACACGUGCUCAAGUCCCAGCAGGAGUCUUCGUCCAUGAGCUUCGCAAACCAUCCAUUAAGAAGCAUGCACACUCAGCAGCCACCGAUUGCGGUCCCAUAGAACCAGACCGGGAGGUUAUGAUAAUUGAUGUGGAUUGGAGAACACCAUUUAUUGACUACAUCAAAGAGCACAAAUUACCUUCAGACAAGAUACAGGCAGAGCAAGUCUUACGACGAAGCAAAAGCUACGUACUCGUCGGAGACAAGCUAUACAGAAGAGGCUCAUCUUCAAGAGUACUCAUGAAGUGCGUCGCACGAGAGGAUGGCAAGGACAUAUUGGAGGAAAUACACAAAGGGAUCUGUGGCAACCACGCAUCUUCGUGCACGAUAGUGGGCAAGGUCUUCAGAGCAGUGUUUUACUAGCCUACCGCACUAGCUGAUGCAGAGGGACUAGUCCGUCGAUGCCAAGGUUAUCAAUUCUUUGCAAAGGAACAACAUGUUCCUGCCUACAAGUUCAUCACGAUACCUCCAACAUGGCCCUUCGCAUGAUAGGGACUCGAUAUGAUUGCUCCACUUCCAAUAGCGCCCGGAGGAUUCAAUCGAGUACUCGUGGCGAUCGACAAGUUCACAAAAUGGAUCGAAGUGAACCCUGUCACGUGCCCCAAGGCAACCAGGGUGCUCGACUUCCUCGACGAGAUCGUCCACCGCUAUGGAUUCCCAAACCAGAUCAUCACGGAUUUAGGCUCCAAUUUCAACAACCACAAAUUCUGGGAGUAUUGUGAAAAUAGCGGAAUUGACAUUCGUUAUGUCUCUGUCGCUCACCCAAGAACCAAUGGCCAAGUUGAGCGCGCCAAUGGGAUGUUACUUGACGCUCUGAAGAAAAGGAUGCACGACAUUGGCAACACUAAAGGAGGCAAGUGGCUCAAAGAACUACCCAACGUGCUCUGAGGGCUACGUACUCAACCGUGUAAGCCUAUGGGGCAGUCGCCCUACUUUCUGAUCUAUGGAUCAGAAGCCAUACUCCGUGCUGACAUCAUGUGGAAAUCUCCCACAGUUGAACAUUACGACGAAGGCGAGGUAGAAGAAACAAGAUGUCUAGACAUAAACAGCCUAGAAGAAUCCCACUAUGCAGCACUGGUCCAGUCAGCAAGGUAUCUUGAAGGACUCCGCCAUUACCACGAUCGCAACGUCAAAGAACAUUCUUUCAACAUCCGUGACAUGGGCCUCAAGCAUAUCCAAGACACCAAGGGGCUGUACAAGCUCAAUUCACCACGUGAGGGGCCUUACAUCGUAUCCAAGGUCACAGGCCUAGGAUCCUACAGGCUACAACAUCUCUCCGACGAAGACGUCGAGAACUCGUGGAACAUCGAGCAUCUUUGUCAUUUCUACACCUAGUCAGUAGACUACCGGACAUUGUACAUAGGCCACUGGCCUCAACCUUUUUUAUGCAAUUACUUUUUAGCGGCAGUCGACUACAUGUCCUCGCCUCAAAUAGUGGCUCGCAAAGGCGGGUCAGCUGCAACCAUGAGCUAUUCAGCUCCCUGGGCCACAGCGCCCCAGUACGACUUGUAGUCACAAGUCUACUUGAGUUAUUCAAUUCACCUAGCAGCUCGCAAAGGUAGGUUAGCUGCAACCAUGAGCUAUUCAGCUCUCUGGGCCAUAGCGCCGAAGUACAACUUAUAGUUACAAGUCUACUUGAGUUAUUCAACUCACCCAGUGGCUCGCAAAGGUGGGUCAGCGGCAAACUUCGAGCUAAUAAGCUCUCUGGGCCAGAACACCCCAACUUGGCUUGCACUCACAAGUCUAAACAAGUUAUUUCAACUCAUCCAAUGGUCUGCAAAUGCAGACCAACGGCGCAAGAAGCCAACAAGUCGACAACAAGAGUACACAAGACUGCUCAUUUCGACUACUUAUCUCAUAUAUGCAUUUUUCAUAUUAACGAAUCUUGCAGGAUACAUCAAUGCUUCCACCUCAAGAAGUUGGAAAGUCAAAAAUACAACAAAAGUGCUCAACAAUGACUACAAGCAACUACCUACUGGCAGUUACAACAAAAGUCCCAGGCUUUUAUAAUAUCACGCCUAGCAUGCGCGGAUGAGCAUGGAGACUACUCCAACACCAGGAGCAAGAAGCGUCAAGGAGCAUGAAGUGCACGCAAGAAAGCUGCGCUCUAGGCAGUUGUGCCCUACUCCUCCCCUCGACGGUGACCUGGAUGUAAACCGGGGCAUGCAACACCCCCUGUCCUCUCAUCCCGCAUCACCUCCCUCUCCCUUCCACAAACACCCGAAAUAGGACUGCGAGUACAAAUUGUGUACUUGAGUCUUGCCCGAAGAAACUGAGGAGAGAGGGAGCGGUCGGAACCACACCACCAUCCUCAAUCAGAUAGUUGGAUAAAAAUCGGGACGCUCGCCUUUCUUCGCCAGCGAGCUCCAACAUCGACUCAUCCAGAGAGCAGGGGAAAAGCCGGGGCGCACGGUGCUUCCUCGUAUGAGGAUUAUUUUAGCAUUGCAGCCACUGGAUUCGGCUCAAGGAUCUGUGGAGGGAAUGUGGAACUUCAAUACGAGGAAUCUUCUAGCACCGGGGUGCUCAUUGGAAGCUCGCCACCAUCAAAGAGAAGAAGCCUAAGGCCAACUAUUGCUAUAAUCCAAGCCAUGCCUUUCACAAAGGCAGAUGGGGCUCUAUUUAUAGCCAUGAAUCCAAGCUACCAUCCAACAAUUGCCACCACACACCCGUGACUACACAGUGCAAAGCUUGCCCCACCGUCUGGCACAAGUACAGUACGCACGUGCAGAGCCAACUGACCAGAGUAAACGCUCGCAUGUGAUCUUCCCUGAUUGCAAAACGACAAGGUACGCAUAGUACUCUCACGCGUCCUCUCGGAUACGCUCGCAAUAAUGCAGGCACAAAGGACAAAUGCACAGUGUUCUCAUGCGUCCUCUCGGGUACGCUUGCAAUAAUGCAGAGAAAAACGAUGACUACUUCCACUGUGAGGCUACGAGUGGUAAACUACUAUAGAGUACUCAUCAGCCGAGCUCACAAGUAGCUCGCAGAUACGACUCCUGCCCAGUCAGCAAAAAAACAAUGCUCAAAGUACCAAGGAUCAUCCCGGCUGCACUAGCCAGAAACUGCAAUACAAUAUUUCAGUUCCUCCAAAAGAUCAUUGUUCAAAGACACAAAAUUCAGGAGCAGUUACAACCAAAUGAAACCUAGAAGACUACCGUAGGUUGAUGAACUUGGCUACUUCCUCGGCUAUACGGUCCAAUUCUUCCAAGUAUUGCUGAUAAGUCUCGUCCGAGCAAUUCGCAGCAACACCCUCCGCCACUGGAGAUAGGUCAACCUUAGAACAGAAUGACUUGACGAAUCCCAGCAGCUGCUUGUACACCGACUUGGCUAUACCUUGGACUAGGCUAUUAAUCUUCGCUAGCGCAUCCCUCAUCCUCUCCAGCAGUGGACGAGGCUCUACUCCUUCCUCAGGGGGCUCCACCAUGUCCGCCAAUGGCUGCACUGCAUCUAACAAUAGUUGGAAUUGUUCUUGUUGCGACUUGAUGAUAGUCAUAGCCUCAACUAGGCUAGUAUCACCAUCCAGGUGCAUCUUCUUCUCCUUCUCCAACUGAACCUUAAGCUCUUCAUUCUCUUCCGACACCCGACAGUAAGCGUUCUUCUAGUUAGUUACGGAGUUCUUCAGCACCGUCUCUUGACUUCUAAACUCUACAAAUCAGACAAGAAAGAAAGUCACGAGAAAGAUUACAUACUAAAGACAAGUCAUCGCUAAGGCUACGAAUACUUACCCUACACCUGGUGAUACAUAGACUUGUUCCGCGCCACAAUGUGGUCCCUCUCACAUUCAAAGUCACGCUUUUCUGCAUGGAGCGACACCACGGCACUAAUACUUCAUCAUGAACUCAGAAGUCUGCUGUUGUUCCUUAGCUAGUUGAUUCUUCAGCUGUUCAAUGCGGUGCGCAGUUUCGCCCCGCUCCCGAAGAAGUCGGGCACUCUGACAAGCGCUCUCAAACAAGUCCAAAAUACCAAGAAAUUAGUACUUGAAGACCCUCAAAUAACUACAGCUAAGACAACAUAUCACAAAGAUCAAGAGUUACCUUGGCGCAUGCCAUUACACGCUGGUUCAUCUCCACCAUAGAAGCCAUGGCUUGUCGAAGGGGCUCCUUAGAGGUUUCAAUCUCCCUAGACUGCUCCGGGUCCUCUGUAGCUGGAUCCUUCUCCCCGCCAGGUAUUAAGUCUAGCCCUUGGCUUGAUGAAGUCGUCACCCCAGAUACCGUCCUCGUAGCAACAACAACAACCUCGCGAGCUCGAGCAGCCUCGAGCUCGGGGGCUUCAGAUAUAGUGGCUGUGAGGAAUACGACAUCUGGAACGCUCGACGCUGGCAAGUCUUCAACGGAAGUAGCCUCGGGCAGUGGGCCAAUCGCAGUAGUUUUAGCCUGCGGCAGCGUGACAUCUUGGAGGGAGCCGAUCACGUCCUGCAUAAGAGCAGCCACCAAAGUCGUAGCGCCAGGUUGUCCCCCUGGCGUAGGACUCUCCUCCGUCAAAUCGACAAUAGACGCAGAGACUAGGUCCGCAGCUGAGCGGCGCUCUCUAUCAACUGCUGGAUCAGUACCCAAUGCACCAAAGUCCACAUUUGAAGAUGCUCUGCACAAGUCAAACUGUAAGCGACAGGAAUCAACUACUCAAAGCAAGAUAGGUACUCAACAUAAUACCAGAGCACUGACCUGCUCGAUCGAUGAGGAAUCAAAGGAGGUUUGCCCCCCAAUCGUAUUGGCAGUAUGGUGGGGACAGGCACAAUUGCUGGGGUAGGUGGCAGAUCUUGGUUCUCAGAAGUACCCGCGGGAGCGUCCUGCGCAGCAAGGGGCUCAAGAUCACCGUCGGUACCUGCAUCAUCUCUGCCCACGGACAUUUCAGGCAGCGUGGCGUCGGCAACUGGUUCGGGUGUCCUGACGUCUUCACUAAUAUCCAUCUUUGAAGCUCUGGCUACACCGUCAGUAGCCACCCCUAUCUCCAUGGCCACAUCAGGAGUAAUCGUCUUCCAUGCUAUGACCACACUACCAACGGCCGUCUAUGCCGCAAUAGUAGCACCAACGGUCGCUACCUCCACCUCGACUACAUUGUGGGCAGCCACCUCCGUCGAACCAAAAAUGUCAUCAGCGGCCGCCUCCACGGUCUCGACUACUUCAAUGGUAGCCUGCAAAAAGAAAAAAGAAUCAAGACAGGUAGUCAUGACUCCACAAAACAACUACAAAUGAGCUCGCACCUCGAUGCCUUGCCUUUCUACAAGAGUUAUUACCAGCGGGGGCGCACCAUCAAUGCGAAGAUCGCACCUACUGCGCCUUUUGGGCAUGGCAGUUCGCUGUUUCUUUCGCGGCGGCACAAAAUCAGCAUCAGCAUCAUUGUCGACACGGCGUCUCCAAACGCCGGAAGAAGACUUGCUCUGCUUGGAGGCACGCGGCUGCACAACAAAAAUUUCCCCAUCAUCAGAUUCAGAGCUGCUAAAGGACUCACUUUCUUCAUCCUUCUCCUCUUCUCUUGAGGACUCCCAGGAAACUGCCCCCAGUAUGUUGGCAUUGCAGUUUUCGCAUCGUCAGUGCCAGGGGGAGGAGGAGGCGAAAAAUACACGAGUACAUUCUCCUGCAUAAGGAAAAACAAGUCGGAAACAACAAACUCAACAACACAAGUACUCAAAUGACAGAGGGCGAUGAGUGCUCACUUCUCUCGGCUUGUUCCAGUGGUCAAACUCCUUGAUUACUUCACUUGUUUUGAGCACGCCGUCGAAUUCCUUGAACAUUUGACUCAGCCGCACCACUACUUCUUCGUCAGAGAUGUCAUCCGUCGACAUUCUUGAUGGGUCGUCAAGCUCAGAGUACUCGUACCCCUAGGUUUGACGAAGCUGCAACGGCUGUACCUGUCUCUUCAGAAAGCUGGUGGCUACGACUACUCUCGUCAACCCAUCCUUCUUCAACUCAGCAAUUUUGUUUAGCAACUCAGGUACUUGCAUACUCUCAGCAGUAGUCGGCUCGUCGAGCCACCUACUACUAUACUUUGGGUGGUGUCCAGUGAUCUUGGGCAAGGAUGGCUCGUGAUCCUCAACAUAAAAUCAUUUUUCUUUCCAGCCACCAUGGGACUCAACCAGCUUAUACUCCAAAUACAUAUCAGAGUACUGCUCACGAAUUUGAAAGCCGGCCCCUCCAAUGACUUACAUGUUCUCUUGACUUGGCUGUGGCUUCAAGCAAAACAACUUGCGGAACAAACUGAAAUGGGGUUGGAUCCCCAAAAAGGCCUCGCACAAGUGGAUGAAAAUCGAGAUGUGCAGAAUGCUGUUUGGGUUCAAGUGGACAAGUUGCAAAGAGUAGUAAUCCAGGAGGCCUCGGAAGAAAUUAGAAGUUGGGAUGGCAAACCCGCGCUCAACAAAUCGGGCGCCAUCUCCUUGGGGUGUACCUCGAACAUCCAUGGGUUGUUGUAAGACGAUCUGCAAUCUAAGAUCGCUUUAUCUUUCAACAGCUUGGCAUCGACCAACUCCAGUAUCUCCACCUCCUUCAUCAUCGACCUUUUCGUCGCCAGGGCUUGAUUGGGUGGUACGGUCUGGUUCGUUUCUCCACACUUUGGUGGUGGUAGUUGGGGCUCUUUCCCUUUCCCGGAAGUUUCCUUCUUGGAUUCACCUUUACAAGUCUCUCUCUUGGAAACCUGAAGCUUCUUCCCCAUCCUGGUCUUCACGAGCCGCUUCACGCGCAUAUGCUCAGGGGCUAAGUGAGGGAGGCGGCGCGGGCGAUUCACGAAUGGUGUGGGGUGGCACUCAAGGAAAAAUUAGGGUUUUCUGAGGAAAAGGCUAAUAGAUACAAAUGACAGCGUAAGAGGAGGGGAUAACUUUCCCCUAUCCCUUAUAACCGUGGUGGAGUCUCUGCGGGUAAUAGGCCGAUGUUUUCGCUAAUUAGCAGCAAUUACGGCCUUAUCCACACAAGACAGAUUUUUUCAAACUGGCAGAAGCUAAAAGGUCACGAUAACAGAUUGAAAAGCCCUUAUACCUCCCGAAACUAGUCGGGUAACGGCUCGAGGGCUGCGUAUACCGUGCCCAUUGGAUAAUAAUUUCUUUUUCUUCAAAGAUCAAGACAAAGAUGGAACAAAUGCAGAUUGACCCUCAGCCUGAUUCUUCGAUUCAACCUAAGGCUCAAGGGCUACUCCAUAUGGAGUGCGAUUUUCAUCGCACUUCCAUAUAAAGGUUUGAAGACACUCAAAAACAACGUUAGAUGAGGCUAGAGUACCUUCCAGCCGCAUGACAGCACUGAAGUACUUGAAGACUUGGCCACGACCAAGGUACUCAAAGAGCACCAGAAACCAGUCGAGCAACGUCUGCAAAAGUACUCGAGGCUAUUACAUUUGACUACAAAGUACUCGGGGGCUUGUCAGGCAUACAUCCAUGGACCCACCAAAAGUUUUGUGCAGAUCCAUAUGAGGAGAAGUACACUGAGAUAUAUCAGGACAUGGAGACUACGAUACAGGGUGGCAUAGUCUACAUGGACUACCAGGAGACUAGUCAUAGACAAGAAAACUACUCUUCCGAGUUAGAGUAGAACUAUGUAGUCGUAUCCGACUAGUACUCUUGUAAAACAACUACCCUAUAAUCCUGCUCCCUCGGUAUAUAAGGGCGGACAGGGACCCCCUCAAAACAAGUUCACUCCAAUACAAGCAAACAACACACAGGACGUAGGGUAUUACGCGAUCUAACGGCCCGAACCUGUCUAAAUCGCGUGCCUACGUACACCAUCGAGCUCCUGAUUUCGGCGACACCCACCAACCAAAACUCUACCUCGGGUACUCCCUCGGUAGGUUGUCGGGUUAAAACAUCGACAGACGGGUUGGUUAUAUAUUUUUUCUCAUUAGUCUAGUUACGGCUGUUAGCCUAGCCCUACUCGCUAGUAGCGGCAAAGGUUGGUAUAAAAAUACAAUACACUAUUGCAUACAUAGUUCAUCCUUUCUUGCUCUCUCAUGGUGCAUGAAAAAAUUUAACCCAUCACAUGGUGAUUGUUGUGCUGGUUAAGGUGAUCCUUUCUUAAUGUGGAUGUGUGUCAAUGAAGUUGGUUGCAAUGAUGAUGCUUGUUGAUCAUUACUAUAGAAAGGGUUAUAACUAACGGGUCAUCACUGGCGGUUUGAUCCAAACCAGUGAUGAUACAUUUUCAGAGCCGGUUUGUGAGUAGCUAUGCAUGGUGGAGAUUGAAACCUGUGGUGAAAAUGUACACCACCGUUAGUUCCAUCCACGAACCCGAUGUGAAAAUUAGAAUCGGUUUUCACUACCGGUUUUCAUGGUAUAACCCGUCAGUGAACCGUAGCCCAUCUAUAUCUUAUCGACAUCCGUCCCCUUCUCUCUGCCAGCCUCCCCCUCCUCCUUUCUAUCUCCACCUGUUUACCUCUCCCUCCCCAUCUCCGGUCCCUUCCGCCUGCAUCUCCCUCUCCACCUCUCUCGGCUCUGCCCUCCCCCUCUGCUCCAUUUGCUACCCCCCCCCCCUCCCUACUCGCCCCUCACUGGCAUUGUGGAGGAGCAGUGGCACACAAGGAGCCGGCAGGGAUGGUGGCCAUGAGUGCUGGCAAUGGCGGCAGUGAGCGCGGGUGUGGGAUGCAGCGAUGACGACAGGCACAGGUGUCGAGCUGUGGUGCGGGCGUGAAUGCAGGCAUUAACGGCGGGCGUGGGCGUGAGAUGUAGCGGCAACGACGAGGCUUCGUCUCCCCCACAAUACUCUCUCUCUCUCGCUCGCUCGCUCUCUCUCUCUCUCUCUCUCUCUCUCCCCCUCCAAGAUACUACAGCUGGUGGCGGGCUCCAGCAGCGUGGCAAGGCUCUGGCGGUGCCUUUUUUAUUAUUUUAAUAGGCUUCACUGGCGGUGGUGGGACACUAUCACCGCUGAUUCAAAUCCAACGGGAGGCCAAACUAGCAGUGAUGUUGGGUUUAGGGCUGGUGGUGGUAGGCCAGUAUGGAGUAGUAGAUGGAAAUGCGUGAGGCUAGCGCAGUGGUCUCAUCAUCGUGCAACCACCUAGCGAAGCUGUUUAGAUUUGUCCUAAGUGUUCUCCUCCUCACACGUCCCAUUGAUUAUGGUGGCUGCCUCACUAUCUCUAGUGCCGGCAUGGCCCUCUUUCAUGGUGAUUUUGUCAUCAUGAUUCUUCAUAUAUUCUCCUUCUACUUUAGUGCCUACAAACUAUGGCUUUGCAGUCUCGCACAAAGCAGCGAUUUUGCGUCUAUUGGUGUUGCACAAAGCUAGCCUGUGUUUGUGGUUCAAGGUGCUCCUACCUGUAUCUGCACUUCUAUUGCCAGGUGUCUGAUUUAUGCACUUUGCCCUUGAUGGCGCAUGACUUGUACAUCUCUGCUCUUCCAUCUCACUAUUGUUCUGUUUUGUGGCCUUGAGAUGCUAACUGAAGUCCAUCAGAAUGCUAAGUUUGGUCUCGUUUCGAAAACUGCACGGACUUAAAUUGGAUGAGUGUUGGUCACGUCACAAAAGUUACAUACUUUAGUUGAGAAAAGAACAAUUUCCAAACAAUUUUUUUGCAUCCCAUACUAUAUCCUAUCAACAUGGAAUUCAUGGAUGAUUCAAACAUGUUUAAUUCGCAUCCCAUACGAUAUUUUUUAGAAAAUUUUCUUGUUUUAAUUCCAAAAUUACAUAAUUAUUAAUCACAUUGAUAUGAACUCUUUGAUCGAAUUAGUCUAGACCAUUAGAUCAUAAUAAAUUCUAACAAUUUAUAUUCUUUUUUGACCUUAACAUCCCUUUUCUCUCCUUGAUUUUAAUCGUUCAGUCAAAGCUGGUCGGAAUCUAGAAUUGUUUUCCCUAUAUAUCGCCUCUGCUGAGCAUGCGUGCUGCAAGCAAAGCAGGCAAUUGGCUAGCCAAUGACGGUGAAUAAAUAUGAAAUCGACUUUCGUCCACUCUUAAUAAAUAUAUAAGCCAAGCAAAAUUGGAUCUUGGUGCCAUCAUCGAGCUUUUGCACGAAACUAUCCGUCAUUACCAUCAACCUCAUGGACAAAACCAUCCGCCAGUACUAUCGAGUUCAUGUAUAUGAAACCAUAUUACCAUCAACCUCAUGGAGCUCUUUAGGAAAAUAAACCCUCCCAAACGGGCCCAUAACCCUACCCCUAUUUUAUUCUAUCUUUUUCGUGUGCACUUGCUCUACGAACUUUGUUAUCUGAUACACUAGCUUAAAGUACUUAUUGGUUCAAUUUACCCCUUAAACUAUACUAUUUGCUCAAUUUGUAUCCCCAAAUACAAUUUAUCUUUUUUUUCCAUGCACUACUACGAAUGAUAAAAUUUUAGCUACCAAACUUUUGUUGACCUGGCUUAGUUUGACAUGUGAACACUACUACCUGCUGUUAGCUUAGCUAGAGCGUUUAUUACAAAAAGUUUAUUAUAAAUUUUCAAUAUAUAAAACACAUAGUUAUUAUUCCAUUAAUAGGAAUUCCAUAUUCUAAUAUUGUAGCAACAAUGUAAAUUGAACUAUUUGAAAACAUUUUAGUCAUGUGCUUGAACCUUGGUAAUUGGUUCCUAACAACUAUAGCCUACCCUAACUUUUUGGGACUGAAAGGCUUUGUUGUUGUUGAUGAUGAUGAUAUAACUUGAAUUAGAAAUUUAUUUUAUACCAUCGAUCCAAAUAAUACUGACUUAGCAUCGACACGUGACUCAUUGCAUUAGCCAUCGACGUAACUGUUGAAACAGAACUUCACGUGUUGGUGUACAAAUCAGAACAUAUUGUUUCGCUGUUGAGGCAACUUUUAGAAAAUUUGAAUGCUUUAAAGGUAAUCACCAACUAUUAUCAUUGUUGUUUUUGGUUGAGAAAAUUUUUCUCUAGAUUAAUGAGCCAUAAUGUCUGUGAUGGCACACGUUAAAAACACAAUAGUAAUGAAUAGACCUGAGCAAACCUCGGUCGGGCCGGCAAAAAGCCUGGUUUCUUUGGGUCCAAAAUCUCCACCCAAGUCCGCCCAUUAACUCCACUAGGCAAACAAAAUCGGGCCCAAUUUGGGCUGGGUUUGGGUUGGGCCACCCAUCAUUUUCUAGUGCAAAUUUAAUUCAUUUUAUUAUUCAGCUCGGGCCUAAGCCCGCCCAUUUUUUGGGUCAUGAAAAUCAACACCACGACCGGCCCUAAAUGGAUGUCGGGUCGGUAUUAGCCUGUCGGGCUUGGGCUGGGCUGGACCUAUUUUGCUCAGGUCUAUUGUGAUCUGAAAUGGAUAUGUUUUAUGAUGCCACCUUUCCUUUCUUUUUUGAAACUUUUUUCACUUAAUCGAAAUCAUGCUUACGAAAAAUGAGUCCAAUUCUGGUAGGAAAUAGAGCUGGGUCUUUUUACGUUAUGAAAAUAAUAAACUCAAAGUUUGACUGGAAAUACCAAAUUUUCAACUUAAAAUCCAACGGUGUAUAUUCUUCUCUUUUUUUGAUUAACGUGGAAAUCUCUCGGCGUGACUUCUUUAUUUCCUAACGAUGUAUAUUCAAUAUUUGUCUUUAAAUACAUUUAAUCCUCAAUUAUGGUGUAACAAACACUCACUUCUAUUUUAGCCUAGUGGUCGAUUGGAUCUGUCCCGCUUGACGGAGCUCUUGGCACGUUACCUAUUAUUGUGUUAUUUAAGGGUGCUUCUCGAUCGGCCUGUAUUGUGUAGCUUCAUGGCUAGUCUUAGCUUCAUGGCUAGUCUUUUUUUUUUUCAAAUUACGUACUCAUAUACACGUACGCACACUCGCCCCUACGAACACACGCACGCAACCCUAUCUCUAUGAGCACCUCCGAAAGAUUGAGCCGACAAAUCCUCGAGAUUGACUAAGUCACCACUGGCGAGAUGCACUAGUACCGAGUCGAAACUUACCAGCUGAGCUACGCUCAGUUUGCACUUAAUGGCUAGUUUGACUUUGCAUACGAUUAAAUAUUAUUUUUAUUUCUCCCUUCACGGUAAUAGUGCUUGACGCAAUGCUGAUGCUUGCCGUGUUGCUAGCUGCGAUGCUAAAUACAUAGCAGUCUCACUUUUUUUAAACUCUCCAAGGGAUCCACGUUUCUUUAUUUGACUUUCAACGAUAGAGUUCUAAUCCGAUACUUACAUGUUAGUAAACCGUGUAUUUCUCAAUUUUGCUAUUUAGUAAUUGUAUUUUGCAUAGUACUUAUUUUGGUUCUUUGGAUUAGUUUGCACUAUUAGAUCUUCAUAAAAUCCAACGGUGUAUAUUCUUCUCUUUUUUAGAUUAGUGUGGUAAUUUCUAGGUCCUCUCGGCGAACGUGGUGCAUAAUAAUUAUGUUGGAUCUUUGGAUUAAUUUGCACCAUUAGAUCUUCAUAAAAUCCAACGAUGUAUAUUCUUCUCUGUUUUAGAUUAACGUGGUGCCUUCUUUUAACACUAUUAUAUUAAGAUAAUAGAUUUGCCUCCAACUCCAAUCCGGCGAUCCCUCCACGGAAUCUAUGAUUUGUGUAUGAAGAAGUUGUGGUGUGGAUCAAAAUUCUUUUUAUUAUUUUGAUUUUCGAGCUGUGGUGAAUCAGAAUUCAACAACACCUGAGCAGCAGAGAACGUGUAAUGGCUGGACAGGCACAAGUCAAGCACAAUGGAAUGCUGCUGCAAUAAGCAAAAUAAAAUACUAAAAAACACACAUGGAUCGUAACUUCCAUGAGCUUUGUAUUGCAACAAACAGAAAGCACUGCUACAACAAAUUUGAAAUGGAUGAGAACCAGAGGUGCAACAGGUAAAAUGAACCACUCAAAAAAUAAACCACACGUGUUGCAGCAAUGAUAAAAGCACGAAAUAUUACAUAGGGCUGAAACAUUCGUAAACAAGAUAUUUGAUGCAACAAUGGAUAUUCUCCACAACAUUUAGGGAUGCAGCAAAUCCUUCUCUGUCCUCCUCCCUUUUUGUUGCUAGUUCUGUUCCUUGCUUGGAUGGAUUUUUCUAUUCAGUGCAUCAUUGAAACUUGGCCCACUUAAUGGGCUUGGAGGAUCUUUCGGGUGGAUCUGUGCUUGGAGGAUUAAUGGGCUUACGUGGCCACGGCAGAGAUCGUGCCUUGUGAAGGCCCGACCUGGCACAAAUACCCUUCCUGUGCCGAGCUCAGUCAGAGUUUGGCACGUCGGCCCGCACGGACGGCAGACAGCCCAAUCAUUCACAAUGGGCCGUAAUGGGCCCCUCCUACGCCAGCCCGAUUCGGAUCCGUCGGCUACCUUUCUUUCCUGAGCGCAAGCGAGGAACCCAAGUCGUGAAGGCGAGCGGUCCCACAUGGCAGCCAGCGCGGAUUUCCCAUUGGACAGCUAAUUUCGUCGUCACGGUCUCACGGAGGUAGGAGAGGAGGGUGGGGAACAGAUCGACAGAUAUGGGUGAGGCAUCGCCGGAGUCCGGCGCCGCGGCGGCCGGAGGUGCCGCUGGUCCGGCGCCGCCGCGAAAAGGGAAGUCUUGCAAGGGCUGCCUCUACUACUCGUCGGUGCUCAAGUCCCGCGGCUACAACCCCAUCUGUGUCGGGAUCCCCCGCUCCAUCCCCCAAGGUCACAAAAUCUAACCCGAUGCGCCUCGAAUCUGCAAUCUAUAGACCCAUACUCGCUACCCAAUCCACAAAGUUGCCUCCUUUUGGAUGCUAAUUUAGUGACGCCUGAUCCGAAGAUCUCACGAGGCUAUUGAUGAUUUGGUGUGUUAGUUCCGAACUACGUGGUGGAUGAGCCUAAGGAAGAGGCGAUGUCUCAGGGGCAUGAUCUGAGGCAGUUCAGGUACGGGUGCGCGGGUUACUCCAUGUACGUGGACAACAGGGACAGCAGAGGUGGCGAGAGCGAGGGCAAGACGUUGUUGCCGUAUUGCCGGGGGCUUGAGGUUAGUUUUUCUCUCUUGUUUACAGUCUGAAGCUCUGAAAUUAGCUAUUUAUGUUAUGUUUUUUUUCAAUGGCCCGAUGCAGCUGCCGGCAUCAGUAUUUGAUCUGUUUCUGUUAAUUUUCGUGUAUAGAAACAUACCACAGCAUAUGUAGUUAGUGAAUAUGACAUAAUAAGGCUUACCAAAUUUCUUCAUACUUUUGAUUUUGUAGAUACUCAUAGCCAAUGUGUAUUUUUCUGCAUCCUUCUUUUUCAUGCAAGCUCUGAAAUUAGCUAUUUAUGUUUUUUCCCCAAUGGUCCGAUGCAGCUGCUGAGCUGCCGGCAUGUGUAUCUGAUCUGUUUCUGUUAAUUUUCAUGUAUAGAAACAUACCACAGCAUAUGUAGUUAGUGAUUAUAACAUAAUAAGGCUCACCAAAUUUCUUCAUACUUUUGAUUUAGUAGAUACUCAUCAGGCUAGCCAAUGUGUAUUUUUCUGCAUCAUUCUUUUCAUGCAAGCUUUGUCAUUUUCCCGAUAUAUAUCUCAAGUAGGAAUAGAAUUUAUAGCUUGUAAAAGAUAUGUGAGCACUAAGUCCCCAUUAACUGCAUCGUGCCAAUUAACUGUUGCCAUUAGAGUUGCUUUUCUACUUGCAUACAUGACGAGGAGAAUUGUCUUUUUACCUGAUAAUUUCAUUUCGUUGUAGUGGAUGUUGUUGCUUGUCCUUUUUCACGCCGCUGCUCACAUUUGAUUUAUAGUGGUUUUUUUCUUCCUACCACCAGCAAUCAUAUCAGACAUGAGGAAAUCCGAAUCUUGACCUAACCCUGUAACUUGUAAUGUGAUCUCACUUUUGACUGCUUUGAUUCCCAAUCUCCCUGAAAAGAUUCUUCUGUAUACUCUCAUGGAUACAUACGGGCAUCAGCCCAUAUGACUCUUGUGAAUCCUUGUGGCUCAAUCCCACUGGAUAUCAAUGAAUGGUAGCUCUCUGUCAAACUCUGUUCUGGAGUAUGCAGUGCUCUCUGAACAAUGAAUUAACUUUCUGCCUCCCAAUAGUAUACUUUACUUUUAUGAUUGCUAUUAGGCUAUGCUUAUGUACAUUUAUCUAGUUGUGGAAGUUCUGUGCAUGGUCCUAAUAGAAGUGAGAAAUGUACCUGCAGCUAUUGGUGGACAGCAGAUUGGUCGAGAAACAACCGUCAACUGCACAACAAGCUCCAGCACAUGUUUCAAAGGAUGGUAUGUGGAGUUUUUUCUUUAUGUUAUAUCCAGUCGUCAAUUCUCAUCUAACUUCAUCCCUGGUAGCCUGAUGCUAAAGUUGGAACUGAUUGUGAUCCACCAAACACAUUAGUUGGGAGUUGGGACAUGGACAUACUUUAGAACCACAGCCAACUGCAGUGCUGUAUUCAAAACCCAAUAUACAUAUGUGACCCUUUCAUUUCUUUUGAAUAAAAUUACAGGGCAUGAGCUGGUAGGAUUCAUGCUAAACUAUUAUGCCAUAUUGUUAUUAUGUUUAAUCAAAUUGAUCUGUCAUCUAGAAAGUUUGAUUUGUCCUGUCUCUUUGUUUUAUUGAUAUCAGCAAAACAUAUCUGCCAUUGAUCAUUUGUAGCUAUCGAACUUAAUCCUAGUAAUGCAUUCAUGUUUCUUUUCGCAGCAGCUACCACCCGCUCUCACCAGGAGGGACAACAGAGACCCGCGCACUUGGCGAGACAGGAAUUCUUGGGAAGGAAAGCUACAUUCUACAUCUCACUCUUCUUGGUCCCCACUUUGUUAAAUUGACUUGCUGAUGAAUAAGGAUGGUGCAGGUUUAAGAGGAGUGCCGGACUGGUCGCUUCAGGUGUGGCCAAGAAUCUAAACAAAACGGCCAAUUAUAUCAAGGAAAAUAUCCAGGACAUAUUUUACCCUGAUCGCCGCCCACCGAAAUAGUAGCCGUGCUGAUGGUCAUCCGUGCACAGGUUGAGAGCUGGAGAAAAAUGUUUCAUGAUGCAAACACUACAAAAGGCCUACCUGACAGAUCAUAAUUUUACCAUCCCAGUGAGAAGCAGCUCCAGUUUCAUUGAUAAGAAAGAAAUGGUGCCUUGCUGGGACACCAAAUUUCCUUUCUGUACCUGCAUGACUUUGUAGUAGCCCGAUGGUGUACAUGCAAAUAACUUCUGUUUGGAUGACGUGAAAAUGGAAUUUCGGGUGUACUGAUGAAUAAUGUCAACCGGUCACAAUGGAACUCAAUGGGGCAAGUUUCAUUCUUCUACUGUUAACAGGAAGGCCAUGGUAUGUGCUAUUGUUCACUUCAGCUGUUGAGUGUCAUUUUUUUUUUUUUUGCCACAUUCAGAAUCGCAUCUCAUUUUCAGAGUUGCAAAAGGUACGUCGUUCCGUAUUUCGGUCUAUACUGAAUCUGUCCGCGUGCACUUUUUUACUCCUUGUAGAUACGCAUACCGCAUACGCCCCCGCGCACCUUUUCACUCGGAUCUGGCAUCUCAUCUCUGCUCAGCUGCUAGUCUAGUUGAAUGCGUUCAGAGUUGAACGGUCGUCUGCGCUGCCACCUGCCAGUGCCAGAACCAGAAGCCCAGAACCCACGCGCACGCACAUGCUCUCCGGUCACUGUACCUCCCUCCUUCAGAGCUCAUCAUCUCACAGGCGCGGAGUGAGACCGGUUGCAGCUGCACCGGAUCUGGUCCUUGUUUACUCCAAUUGACCACCGGCCACGGCUCAAGCCUGAAGCAACUAGUGUCCAGUGCGACGGGUCCGUGUGGUCGUCCUCGUCGGGGCGGGGCGAUUCAAACUUGGGCCGGCAAGCCCGGGGGCAACGGCCGACGGGAAACGGGCGCACGGCGCCAGGCGGGGAGCCUGCCCUGCCCUGACAUCGCGUCACAUCACAUCAGUCGCAUGAAAUAUCCGUGCCCAGUAAAAGUCCCACCUACUAGUGGCACCUGCCUGCCACAGCCUUCUCGCCCCGCCCGGUCGCCCCUCACGCUCCUGCUCCUGCUCCUCCCGUAGUCCCGUUCCUCGGCCACGGCUCAAACGCCGUGCUCCGGACGUGGCUCGGCCAUUGCCCGGCGUUCUGGAUCUCUGAAUUCUGUGCAGGAAAAAUAUUAUACUACGAAUACGAACUGCUGGGUGCAGGGUGCUGACUGGUGCGUUCAUGCUACGCUGAAGCUGGCCUCUGAGGAUGAGCAUUGACCUGAAGCUGGCCAUGCACACCGUAUCCUUUCAAACUUGUGCUGCCACUCUGUACUUGAGGCUGCAAACACAAAAGAAAAAAGGAGGAAAUAUCCCAAAUGAUUUGCUCAAAAGGUGCCAAUUAUUUGGCCUUUGUCAGUCGGCACUCGAGCUGCAGCCAGAGCCAGGCGCCAAGGAAAGCUGCCGGUCUUCCAAAUUGUGAGGCGGCCGCCGGCCGGUGAUCUCAUGAUUCUCAUCUCAUCCGCUCCCCCCAGUUCCUGGCGGCAGCCCCCUGCCCUCCUGCGGCUGCGGCGCACUGCCGGGCCACGCUCCUCCUGGCUGCCACCCAUCAGCGCUUGGCAAAGGCAUGGCAUCACGAGUUCACAGACCCGACGCCAUUAAAGGGACCUGCGGUUUUGAACAUUCAAAAGGGGGGCAAGAUCUAGCGGCGAGUGCUGCUGUAAAGUUCAAAAGGAGAAAGCAUCAGAGCAGGGCUCGGUCAUCAUCUAAAGGAUAGUUUGGCAGGACUCCAGCUCCUCCGAAAACAGCUUCGGCUCUAGCUCCUCGGCUGGAGUGGUUUCUUCGGCUCUAGCUCUUUUUGGAAAACCGUUCGGCAAAACGGCUCUUCCAUAUAGUUUAAAAUGAUUAGAUAAGAUGAAAUACCCAUAAUACCUUUUCAUUUUUCUUUUCUUUUUUUUCUUUACUUCUUAUUUAUUUUCCUUCUUUUCUCCUUCUAUUUUCUUUUCCUAUUUCUUUUCUCUCCUCCUAUUCCUUUUCCUUUUCCUAUUUCUUUUCUCUCCUUCUCUCUUCCCUAUCCUCCCACGCCGACCUCCCAUUCUUCUCUCUCUUCCCUAUCCUCCCACUACCGAUCCACUCACCGCCGCCGGAGCUCUCCUGCUGUCGCCGACGGCCGCCCCCCACCGCCUCCGCCCCCCGCCUCCCACUUCAUCCCGGCCGUCACUAUCUCCGUCCCCACCUCCCGGUCGUCUCCGCCCCCACCGUCGCCGUCGGCCGCCGCCUGCCUGUGGCCCCUCCCCCCGAGGGCAACGGUGGGCAACGACAAGAGGAGCCGGAGGAGCCACUAUUUUUGACUCCUCCUCGGCAGUAAAAAAAAGGCUCCGGCUCCGUGGAUGCUUCGCUCGCGGAGCCAUUUCGUACGUUGCACUUUGGUAGGGCUCCAGCAGAAACCGCGGCCGGAGCCGGAGCUAGAGCCCUACCAAACACGCCCUAAAAGAGAAACCAAAGCUGCCGGGUAUGGACUUGAAACCAAAGCACCACCCAAACUGAUGAGUGAUGACAGCAUCAGGACAUGAAAAGAGGUGCCCACUGAUGAUGAAGUCCACGCGUAGGUCAACUGGGUUGUCUCUUCAGUGCGUCUGUGUUAUUUUCUACUUAAUCCGUAGUUACCAGAUGUGUUAGUGAAGAUCCAAGUGGUGCGUUGGAAUGUUCCUUCUUGAAAAUGUAUCUUAAGAGCCAGUGGUCUUGACAAGGAGAUUGUUGUAUUGUUUAGUUAACCUCUGUUCAUCCAGAUCCUGAUCCUCUGCGGUAAUGCAGAUGCAAGCAGUGCUUUGUGCCUGCAUGAACAGCAAGCCUGCAUGAAAGGCCAUCAUACGGCUGUACAAGUUUAUCUGAUUGGAUCUUCAGAAAAGGAUCAUUAAGCUCUCUGGCAGGCUUGCCUAAUUAUCCACUGGAUCUUUUUUCUUUACAUGAAAAUAAAGAGUACGCCAGUCUUUAGACCGCCUGUUUGGAGGGUCGUGUUUCUUCCAAGGCAAAGCUAGAGAAGCGCUAAACGAGGAGGCAAUGAUCACACGUGUGGUCCGAGGCUCACGAAGCAACGAUCCUACAACCCGUCCAUGUGUCGAGAGAUUCCAUGGCCUUGUCGGGCACAUCCCGUCUUCGGGCCGGGAAGCAAGAUCCCCAAAACACCCAACCCUAAACCAAACUUACAAGGAAGAUAACCAAGGCACUCAACCCUCACCAAAGCACUGUAACAUUUUAACAAACGUGCCGGCGAGCCUACCGCAACGCAUGCUUUCUUGUAAUUUCCCUCCCCCCACCCAUCACGAAGAUCCGGAGAGAAAGCAACACGAGAUGGCACCGAAAUCCCUCCACCACCCAAGCGAGGAAGCAUGGGGGAGCAGAGCACUCGGCGUUCCGGCAACGAGCACGACGCGUUCGGCCGAACGCCACACCACACCAGGGGCGCGCACGCAGAACACACAGCGGCCUGUGGCUGGCAGAUAGGACGCACAGUCACUGAGCGAGCAUCUCCAUUAAAGAAACCGAGGCCAAGGAGCACGUCGUGGCGUCAGGAAAGGAGGGGAGAACAAAGCGUAAACAAACCAAUCCGCGCCGCAACAGUACGGUGGUAGUAAGCACGGGAUUUGAAUCCAAUCCAGCCAGGCAGCCGAGACCUGAGAAAAGCCUCUCCUUGUUCCUGUAGACUGCUGUAGUGCGAGCGAGGAGGCGGCCACGGCCCACGGCCGGCCACCCACACACCAACCCCUCUACCUCCUCCCUUUCAAACCACUCCACUCCGGCUCCGGUACCCGUCUGCGUCAGCUUCGUCUUGCUUUCAUCCGCCUGCGAGCUGGUAACGCAGCGGCCAGACAUGGCCGCCCUGCUCGGCUUCUUCGUCCUGCUGCUGCUGCUGUUGCUUCAUUUCGGCCCCUCUGCCUGCAGCAAUGUGAGUGAGCCCGAAUGGCGUCCUCCUCGUGGUUCGGCUUCCCGAUCCAUCAUGGGCGGUUCUUGCCUUGACACAGUUUCGUUGCCUUGGCGUCGCUGCAGGUGUACAUUGUGUACAUGGGGGAGAGGAGCCCGGAGCUGCAGCCGGCGCUGGUCCGGGACUCGCACCACGGCAUGCUCGCCGCCGUCCUCGGCAGGUGAGUGAGCCCACCAUUCAUCGGCCUCAUUCUGAGCUUCGCCUAUGGAUUAGCUGCAAUAUAUCCUCAUGGCGGCGAGCUUUGCAGCGAGCCGGCGGCCAAGGACGCCAUCCUCUACAGCUACCGGCACGGCUUCUCCGGGUUCGCCGCCGUGCUCACGGACAGGCAGGCGGCGCAGCUCGCCGGUGAGCUCACAUUUUCACUGACCUCGUCUUCUGCUCAGACCUUCGGCUUCCCUAUGUGAUGCUGACGAAGCCCCUGCUGCUUUCUUGUGUCUUUUAAUUUGGCGGCUCCGAUUAAAUUGCUGUGUUGAAGAUUGGCCUGGAGUCGUGCGAGUGGUGCGGAAUCGUGUCCUCGACCUGCACACCACCAGGAGCUGGGAUUUCAUGCGACUGAAACCGUCGCCAUCGGGUGGAAUCCUCUCGGAGAGUAGAUUUGGGGAGGAUUCCAUUAUCGGCGUGCUAGAUACUGGUGAGAUUAUUGUCUCUCCAUUUUCUGUGGUAGCAUUGGGAUUAGGACUGGCAUUGCACCGGUAAGAUUGAGGCGUCCUGUUGGUCUGCACUUUUCAGGGAUAUGGCCAGAGUCGGCCAGUUUUAGAGACGACGGCAUCGGCGAGGUUCCACGGCGGUGGAAAGGGCGGUGCAUAGCCGGAGACAGAUUCAAUGCUUCUAACUGCAACAGGUUGGCCUGCACUUAAUUUUCACCUUACUGCAAUACUGCUUGCCUGUAAGAGAUUUUGUCCCUGCUUGAAUUCUACUGGUUGUCCUGGUAGUGACUUCAAAUUCAUGAUAGGAUAGGAAAAUAAUAGGCGCAAAAUGGUACAUCAAAGGGUACGAAGCUGAGUAUGGCAAGAUGAACACAACCGACAUCUAUGAGUUUAUGUCCGCGAGAGAUGCUGUCGGGCAUGGCACACACACGGCAUCCACUGCUGCUGGUGCUCUGGUAGCGAAUGCGAACUUCAGGGGCCUUGCCAGUGGUGUUGCAAGGGGAGGGGCACCGAACGCUAGGCUGGCCGUUUACAAAGUGUGCUGGGCCACCGGAGAUUGCACUUCUGCAGAUAUACUUGCUGCUUUUGACGAUGCUAUACAUGACCGCGUCGAUGUGCUUUCAGUGUCCCUGGGUCAAGCGCCACCCCUCCCUGCUUAUGUUGAUGAUGUCUUGUCCAUUGGAUCCUUCCAUGCUGUUGCAAAAGGGAUUGUUGUGGUCUGCUCUGCAGGAAACUCUGGGCCUUAUUCAGAGACCGUGAUCAACUCGGCACCCUGGAUUGUGACUGUUGCUGCUGGCACACUUGACAGGACUUUCCUCACAAAGAUCACCCUUGGAAACAAUAGCACCUAUGUGGUAAGAGUUUCAUCUGAAUUUUGGGUUGAGACUUGAGGUUGUAAUGCAAGCACAUGAUAUGCCAGUAUUUGUGCCUCACAUUCUGAUGUUAUGCAGGGUCAAACAUUGUACUCUGGAAAGCAUCCUGCCAAAAGUAUGCGUGUAGUCUAUGCUGAAGAUAUUGCAUCCAAUAAUGCAGAUGAUACAGAUGCAAGGUAAGCUUUAUCGUCCUCAGUCUCAUCUGAUAAUUCUUUGAAUUCAUCUUCCAUAUUGGCUGAUGUCUUUGCAGAAGCUGCACUGCAGGAUCUCUGAAUUCUACACUAGUGAAAGGAAAUGUGGUGCUUUGCUUCCAAACAAGAGCACAGAGAUCAGCAUCAGUAGCAGUAGAGACUGUCAAGAAAGCUCGUGGCGUUGGAGUCAUCUUCGCCCAGUUCUUAACCAAGGAUAUCGCAUCUUCAUUCGACAUUCCCUGUGUUCAAGUAGACUAUCAAGUUGGAACAGCUAUACUUGCAUACACUACUAGCAUGAGGUAUCCAAACAUUGACCUAUAUAUUUCAACAGUUGUAAUAAUCUAGCAACAUGCUGUUAUUGAUGGCAAAUUUCAAAUAAUUUCUUUUUUGUACACAGGAACCCAACAGUUCAGUUUAGCUCAGCAAAAACAAUUCUUGGAGAACUGAUAGGCCCAGAAGUUGCAUAUUUCUCAUCUCGGGGUCCAAGUUCUCUGUCCCCCUCUGUUCUGAAGGUAAAACAUCUCCUCCAACUGAUCAAAAUUCAUCCUUAGUGCCUGUCCUAGUUGGUUGAGAAAACUCUGCACCUUCUUCUGCAGCCAGACAUCGCCGCCCCAGGUGUCAACAUUUUGGCCGCAUGGACACCUGCUGCUGCCAUAUCAUCCGCCAUUGGAUCUGUGAACUUCAAGAUUGAUUCAGGAACCUCGAUGUCCUGCCCACACAUUUCGGGCGUGGCUGCUCUUCUCAAAUCAAUGCAUCCUAAUUGGAGUCCUGCUGCAGUAAAAUCAGCACUUGUCACAACAGGUAAUGCUUCAUCUGCUUCCCUAAUCAAAGAUGUUUUUGACCCUUACCAAGUCAAUACCUUGCAGCCAAUAUCCAUGACAAUUAUGGAUUUGAAAUUGUAUCUGAGGCGGCACCCUACAAUCAGGCAAACCCAUUUGAUUAUGGAGGUGGUCAUGUGAAUCCAAAUAGGGCUGCACACCCCGGCCUUGUGUAUGACAUGGGAACAUCUGACUAUGUGCGCUUCCUUUGCUCCAUGGGCUACAACAGCUCGGCCAUCAGCUCCAUGACUCAACAGCAUGCAACAUGUCAGCACACACCGAAGACGCAACUGAACCUGAAUCUGCCAUCCAUCACCAUUCCCGAACUGAGGGGCAAGCUUACAGUGUCAAGAACAGUCACCAAUGUUGGCUCAGUCAUGUCAAAGUACAGAGCUCACGUGGAACCUCCGCCAGGGGUGGAUGUGGCCAUCAGCCCCUCACUCCUGACCUUCAACUCGACUGUGAGAAGGUUAACGUUCAAGGUGACGUUCCAGGCCAAACUGAAGGUGCAAGGGAGGUACACCUUCGGUAGCCUGACAUGGGAGGAUGGCGCCCACACGGUGAGGAUCCCUCUUGUGGUUCGGACGAUGAUCAGCAAGUUCUACGUCGAUGCAUAAGCUAGUGUGCGUGCGUGUGUGUUACCAUUCGACCACCACUGGUGAUGGUGAGACGAACAAGAUGUAACCUGCUAAUUUCUCCCGAUCCUAAUGGCAUUGGUGAUUGGUUGGGGUUCCUGCUUGACUAGAAUUCAGCUACUGAUUGAGAUGAAUAAAUCAAUAAAAUGCUCAGAGAAAUUGAAUCUUUCUUUUGAUUGCUAAUAAUGAGUUUAUCUUGUUACACAACAAUAAGGGUGCGGUGACAAAGCAUCUCAAUCUAGCACACACCGCAGCAGGCAACAAUGUUAAGAAUUGGUAGCGGCGUAUCUGACUCUGAUGACUGAGGCAGCCAGUAAUCUAAUUCAAUUGGGAACAGAAGAGGGCAUACACAUGACGGGCGGUUCAGGACUUGGCGCCGUCACUGGGCUUGGUAUCAGCGGAGUCGUCCUUGACGCCGGAGCCCGAGGAGGCCGCCGCGUGGGCGGCGAGGGCCUUGUCGUACGCGUCGAGCUCGUCGAAGUAGAUGUCCCAGACGCAGCGCACGCAGCCGCUGCCGCAGCAGUCGCCCGGGAGCGGCUUCUCGGGCGGCUGCGGCACCGGCGCGGGCGCGGGCGCGGGCGCCGGCGAUGGCGAUGGCGCGGCGUCGGGCUUCGUGGCGCCGCCGCCGUCGCGGGGGCCGGCCGAGGCCAUGGGCGGCGUCCCAGGCGGGAUGCAGUAGCUGCGGCAGCGGCGGAGGGUGAGGAGAGGGCGCGGCAGCGUGGGGAGCAGUGGCGGCGGGAUCGGGGCCGGGACGCGGAGGACGGCGCCCAGCAUACAGCCGAGAGGUCGCGUCGUCGGAAGGGGGAAGGCACGCGGAGGAGGCUGCUGCGUGAUUGGGUCGGGAGUUUGGAGGGUCAGAGUCCAACUGCCUCAAGCCAGCGCGGACGAACGAACUGACACACGGCACGUUGCGUUUGGCUUGCCAUCUCUCUCUGCCCAUGGAAGAAGAGACUGAAGAGUCGAAUUUCGAUCGGUGUGACUUCUUUUCGAGGAAGGUAAUUAGCAGAGUCGAAUCAACAUCUGAAGAUAAAAAACGAUCGAAUUCAUAACCACGAGGCCGCACACAUCACACAAGAAAGAUUCAGAUCCACAGCCACAGAAGGAAACAUGUGAGUUGGAGAACAGGUUAGAUAGCCACCGAGAGUUCCACAGAAACUUCAGUAUCAGGAUUGAAUCUUCUCUACCUUAUUGCCACAAAAAGGCGAAAGAAAAGAACAGAGUAUAAAUCCCCAAAUCUGCAUCACUGAGUAUAUUUGAUCAUGCAAUUUCUGUGUAGUGUCGCAGUUUUUCAGCUGACAGAAACUUUCAAAAUUUCAUUACCCCAACAGCAAAUCUAGCUAGCCGUUAAAGGACAGGGAAACUAGAAUGCGUGCCACUCAGGAUAAGCGCACGCGAUACACUGCAAUCACGCACUGCUCCUGACUCCACAUCGUUCGUUCUCGUGAGAGAGUGGACUGUCGUUUCAAUCCAUUGCGAUCACUGAUCACUUGAUCAGGAGCCAGCAUCAGGUGUAUGUAUCUGAAAUUCUGAACUCAAAGGCAGAAUCUGUUAGCGCGCACGAAAAAGGAUGUAUGCGGAAAAAAAGGUGGUACCUACCUGCUUCUAGUUUUCCGUCAAACGAUUUCUGAUCUUCAGCCCAUCAGACUAUGCUCAAAGAGAGCAAAACCUGUAUCCUGUAAAUGGGACCAUCAGGCCUUAAAUCGUUGGUCCUUGAAGCACUUUAACAACUUCCUUUGCUCUAGCUUGUAUCUCUUUUAGAAACUCGACAAGAACGUGUUGCUGAUAAGAACCACCUUCCUAUAAAAAAGGAAAAUAAAGAAGAGGGGAAAAGAUGUUGAGAAAGAUGCUGAUGACAAGGCCCUGCUCUUUGUAGAAUCCAGAAGUUUGUGAAUCUUACGGUUCGAAUUAAGACCCUCUCAGUUCUCUUACAAAUAACAGCAUAAAGUUCGUCGGGUGAAACAUCUCCUUUUCCAACUGUAAGUCCAUCAAGUAGCACCUUGUUCCACUCAUUCUCAUGUGCUGCAUUGCACAAUCUCUAUUUAUAAGAUAUCAUAACUAGUAAAUGCAAAAGAAAGAGAGAAUUUCUGAGCAGCAACCAGACCCUGCAUUACAGAUUCAAGAAACUUUUCAGAAGCUACAACUUGCCCCCUUGUAGAAAGAAGAAAGGUACUCAGGACAACAAUGAAGUGUAGACCUUCCCCAACAUCUCUAGUUGAACAGCCUAAAAGUAAUGCAUAAAGAAAGAAUACCUUUGUAAGCCUAACUCCGCUUUUGGAGAGAUGUGGCCGCGUAUAACUGCAACACCUUUUGCAACAUAGCUUGAAGCCCUGGUUUAUCUCCAUCUUGUUUAGCCUAAAAUAAAAUUUGAUCAAUGUUGGGAACAAUACACACUUGCUAGCAUAAAAAUCAAGAUACUUACUUGCCUCAACUGAGCACUGACUUCCGACAGAAAUCCCUCAUCAAGCUGCCCCUCUUGUUCUCGGCGUGAUAUUUCCUGGGAUGGCAUUUCAAUGUAGAUAAUGUGACAGAAACAAAAUACAGUUUGACAUCAAAUCUCUCAAGCCUGAAAGAAAUAUUGGUUGAAAAGCAGAGACAAUAGUAACAACAGGCAUGAGUAAAGCAUAACCUGAACCACAUUCUCUCAUAAGAGAUGUGGACCUUUGCGGCCCUGACCAUCACAUUUGCACAACACAUUUUGUCAGUUAAUGCAUAUGAGUGUAACAAAGCUCUAGCUUUCAAAAAAAAGUGUAACAAAGCUCAACUUUACAGACACUGCAAAUACAGAGACCAUGACAGAAUGCAUGUAAAGGACAGCACCAACAGAAAGGAUGCAGAAACAUAGGAAGAGUUGUGGCCUUACUUUCUCCAUCAAUUUGAGAGUGUCUGGGUCUCUUGGUGGCCACUUCACAUCUCCUUCAUGAAUUGCCGGACUGAUGAUUUCCUUCAGCACAUCAGUUGACUGUUCAAUCUUUUGCUCCAUAGAAUAAGGGAAAAAAUUAUCCGCAUGCAACACAUAUCUGUGUAAUAUAAAAAGAAACACGAAAGGUUUACAUGCUUCGCAUCAAGACAUAGGCAGCUGUAUUAUAUGAGGACUUAUGCAUGAUGGAACGUGGUUCUUACAUCAGUCUUGUGAACAAGCCUGUCAACAAUGUUCAUGACAUUUUCAGCCAGCUCUUCGUAAUCUUUCUGAAAAGACAAAAGCGAGAAACCAAUCACAAAGUUAGAUCAAUAUAUAUAGAAGAUAAUAACAUCCACAGGAAGGCAAACUGUAUUCGUAUGUGAAACCAUGCUUUAUCAUCAUCUGAUUUGCAGAUGUCAAUUCUAGCUGCCAGCCGAACCCAGAAACCAGCAUCGAAUGCCAGAACAUUUUCAACCACUAUUUGAUCAAGCUGUUUACAAGCAAGAACGGUGCAUUAGUAAUUUAAUCAGGUGAACUCAUUAAUGCAAAAGAAAUAAGCAAACAAUCAAGGAUUAUUCCAGUCGAUUUAACAGAGAAUAAGAACUUGGUAUUUGUAAAAAUAUAGUAGAAACAUUAGUCUAAUAUAGUGAGACGUUUAGGCAAACUUCAAACACUGUACAAACAUGAAGAACAGGAAGAAAACUAAAAGCAAUCUGUGUAAGUCAACUAGCUUCUAUAGUUCAAAAGUGUUCAAACAAACUUAGGUCCAGUCAUAGGUUCAUCAAUUAUUUCUCAGUUUGCCUCUGAAGAUUUUGAACAAGAUAAGAAAGCAAGGUCAAACUUGGCAUGAUGCAGACUAGUAAGUUGGAAGAUAUUAAUAGAGUGAAGUCUGAAUUGCAACAUAGUUCCGCAAUAAAUGGUAAUGUGAUCUAAUUAUGGCCACAGGUUAGCCAGACAGACAUCACAUCUACCUCUCUAGGAUUUGCAUCCCUCAGCAUAUCAAUCAGCCUAUCCACUUCAAUUGUCUUCUUCAGGGAUUCUUCAGGAGCUUUAUCAGCAGCGCAUAACAAAGUGCUUCAUAAGUUCUGAAUUAAGAAUAUUCAACUGUCAUACUAUUGAAUUCGAUAUACUACCGAAUUACAUAUCGAAUUCAAUAUAGAAAUCUGAAACCAUAGAUCCUGACGAUAGAAGGAUUGUAAUAACAUAAUCACAAAUUUGCAUCAGCAGCCCUUAUCCCUUAUCACAUCCAAACUUUUAAACUGUAGUUCCAAUUGAACGGUUACACUGUCAGGAUCACAAUUCAAUGCUGAGGGGGGGGGGGGGGGGGGGGGGGGGGGGGGAAGAAACCCAUAAUGACAGUUCCACUGCGAUGCUUAUCUUGUGUUAAGUUCUAAAAAUUUUUAAUCCCUCAAUAAGAAAAAUGCCCAGCAAGGCUAAGGAUAUGAGCCGAGAAAACACAUUGUUCCCAAUUAAACAGAAUCAAACAAUUGAAUAAAACGCCAUCACUUCUAAUCCAGAAGCACCAACCAGGCAACCAAGUGCGUACAAGUAAAUGCAGCUAAAAGCACAAAUCAAGCACAGAACACGAACCGCCUCCGCCGCUCCGCAUGGAACGCACUCAGCCCAGCGGGAUGCACCAGAAUCCCCCAACACCACCGACGGGGCAAACUCUGUUGGCAUAAGCGCGGACAAUUGAAGGAUGAACGAGGUCGAGAAAGUCACGAUUUCGUUGGGAAAAGAAAUCAGGAUGAACAGGGUGAAUAGUCUAACCGCGAAGCGAGGCGGGGAUGGAUACGACGGCCGGAGCGACGUGGAGGUGGCGGCGGCUGUCACCAUCGCCGGCCGGAGACGGAAGCUGGACGGAGGGGCAGAAGAGAGGGGGGAGGGAGUGCGCGCAUGUGCGGUGUGCUCCACAGAUGACAGACCACAGGUAUGGAACUCGAUGUCGAUAGAGCUACCAUUCCGCCUCUACGGACCAAAGUUUACGCCUCCAACACGGAGUAGCAGAAGCAAACUGCUUCCGCAAUUCUCGCUUGUACGCGGAAAGUUGAGUUUACACACUGAUUAUGAUCCACACUUCCACUUGCACCGUUGCACGGCAAAAAUGUCCAGUUGAAGUAUAAAGGGGGAAAUUGGAAAAUGAUGCUCUACAUGCUACUUGAAGAUUUUUUAUACUUCACCACAUAAGAUGUUUUAUUGCAAAAAUCGACCUCCUAUUUAGUUGUGUUGAGAAAAAUCAUCCACCACAUAUGUACUAAGAUUCCACUUGACCGCGCACUUCGUGCCGACCAAAGAGGGCAAUCGGCGUGACCUACUCAUGGGAGCUACUUGCAUGCAUAUGCAUUCCUCGGUUGCACCUGUGUACGCCUCCUACGACCCCAGCCCGUGUCGCUCAACCGACCAGGGCAAAACAAAGUUUUCCACGGACCAGUCCGGGGACUUCGUUGCGUAGGAAAAAGGCAAAGGCAAAAACACGUGCAAAAGAGAAACCCAUGUCAAUACAAAUCCGCGACAAAGCCACGGCUAAAAGCAUUUAAGUUCAUUACAUAAUCCGGACUUAAUGCAAGAAAGCGAAAACUUAAGCAACUACUCCGCAGGGGCUUCGGGAGGGACUUCGUCUCGGAUCACGGCUGACGAGAUCUGCCCGACCAGCUACUGCGCGCCAGGGGCCACCAUCUCUCCGAGCUGCGUCAGCUCCUCGGAGGUGCGGUUCCUCGCGUAGCCGCUCCCAACGGCGGCAAAGUCCACGCCGUCAUAGUGCGUGGCCCUACUCCCCUCGUCGAGUGAGUUCUGGGACCCUACGGUUCAGCUAACAUACAGUCUCGGGGACGCAGCCCAGCUCUUCCAGAUGGGCUUCGAGCGCAGGCUCCGCCCUGACCCCGCAAACCCUAUGUUCGUUGGUGCGGCGGAGUAUGCGCAGGCGUCCUUCCACGACCUCAUGGAGAUCCACUCCACGAGCAGCUCCUUGUUGGAGGUGGAGCUCGUCCACCGCGAUAUCUUGUCGAGAGAGUGCUUCAUGGCGGAACUUGCCGAGCACACCCCUCCUGACACGCGGCGCGCACAGCCGAUCCAGUGCACGCCGGAGGAGAGCGAGGUGUACCUCCACGGGAAAGUGGAACGCCUCGCUUUGAGGCGGCGGAGCUCGACGGCAAGCGCGCCCAGCUGGAGCGCGAGCGCACCGAGCUUGGCAAGCAGCGCGGAGAACAAGCGGCCGGAGCAGCCUGCGACCAUUCCCAUCGCGUGCAUGAGCAGACCAUGUACGACGAAGAUGGAGUCCACUGGUUCGCCCGUGCCAGUCAGAAUGUUGCCGCCACGGCAAUGAUCCUGCGUUCAAUCCUUGAGCUGUAGGAUCCCGAGGGCUUGCGCAUCCAUCGCGAGCUUAAGGGUCUGCUCGAGACCGCGAUGGUCCAUCAGGCGGGGAGCUUCCUCCAACGGAGACAAGAAGCUAACAGCAGCCACCGGAAGUGGAGUACAGGCGGCCCCUAGGGUUCCCACGCGCCCGCCGCACUCAUAGAUGGCUAGCAGGAAGCUGGCCAACCCGCGAGAGGGGCGCUAGCGCAUUGUUUUAGUCAAAAUGAGAAUGACAUCAUUGCAUACUUAAAAGACUUUUUGAGAUACAAAGUUAUAUAACAUUUCGGCAGUUAAACUGUAGCGCAGAGCCCAUACAUAGAGCUUAUUCGCGCUAUAGAUCAUUUGGAAGAAGUAUCCCCAGCCAAUGGAGGUCAAGGAGGCGAGCAAGCAGCGGGGAGCACAGGAGAAGCCAGCCCAGCCAAUCCAGUUGAUGCCCCCUCAGGUUGCUAUUCAUCAUGACGCUCCUCGCCCUUUCGAAACCCCUCAGGCUAUGGAUCAUUUUGCGGGAAGCACGAGGGUCGCCCACAAAGCGAUAAACAGGAGGAUGGGCAUGCACAACGGAUUUCAAUUAGAAGAGAAGGUGCAGUUAGUUAGAUGAAUUGCUUUCGCAUAGCAGCAAAUGAAAAUCUGAGUUAAAAUAGGAAUAGAUAAGUUCCCGAGGUCAUUGAAAUGGGUGAAGUUCAAUUUACUAUGGAUUUUUUCCAUUCUCCUCUUGAAGCACACAAGCAGGAGCCUUUCUUCCAGGAGCCUUUCACCAAAGAGAGCAAAACAGUUCUGUAAGUGGCAGAUCAAAGCCUGAAGUAAAGUCCCUGGUUGUCUUAGUAUUCUAAGUAAAGCAUUUCAUUCUCCAAGCUUUCAGGAUAUAUCUUCGUUAGCCUUUUGAAUUCAGCUAUCAGUGUGAAGAUGAGCAUCUAUCUUUCUUUUAAGGAUUUAGUGUGUGUGCUUGUUCUUAAGGGAACGUGCAAAUCACCCAAUCAUAUCAGGAUGGAUCCAAUGGGUGUGAUUUUUGUCUGUAUUGAUCACUUACCUACGCUAUAAGAAGAAGGGCGUCAUGAAAGAGUUUGGUGUCCAAAGCCACACCUUCUUUCCCCCAUAGGAACAGAGGUCAGGAGCUGUCGGCAGGGCGCUGCAUUCAAUCUGACUGAUGGCUCAAGAUAAGUUGGAGACAUACUUUAGAUAGAUAAUUUAUGUAUUUCGCUAUUUCGAAUACCUAAACUCAAGCAGUGCUAAUUUGCUAAUCCAAGCCUUAUCAAUAAUACCAACACGCCGUCUGAUCCAAGAUUAGCAACCUCUCUUUCUCUCAUAGAGAGAACCUCACUGACGCAUUCAGGGCUCUGCAGUUGAAGUGUUCCUACCAUCCAUAUAUAGGGAAUCCACACCGUCGGCUUGUCGAUCCGGGAUCGCCCAGGAUCGGGUGGAAGGUCGGAGAAGCCAGUCUUCAGUGGUGCUUACUUGGUAGGCGGAUAGUAGAUCAGAGAGGUAGGCCAGUAGAAUAUGGAGGUAUUUUCGUUCUCUUGUUAUUUUUUUAUGGCUAUAAGUCUUUCUGUCUUGGAUUCGUAAUGUUUGGCCAUUAGGUUUGAAUUGCCUUCUCUUUCUGUCUUGGAUGUGAAUUCUUUUACUUAUCCUAAAAUUAGGAGAGUCGUUGAUAUGGUCUUUCUUGGCUUUGGCUUUCAAAGUGCAGGUUGAAAAGAGUGCUCCAUAUCCAUAUAUGUGCUUGGAGGGAAGGCCACAUCUUUAAUUGUAUUCUUUUUGAGGUCAUCCUCUUCAGCCUGUGUUAGUAGUGCUAGUUUUGAGUUUCUUUUUAGUACCUUCCCUACUUAGGGGUUCUAUAGAAAGGCUUAGAGGAUCCUAUAGUGUCAGUUUAUGUUGGAAUUGCUUUGCUCUUUUCUUUACAGCUUAAGCAAAUAAGCUUGAAAGAAAGUGCUUUUAUUUGAGUUGAAAUGAAAGAAGAAAUCGUCUAUCUAGACAGAGUAUGUGUAUUAUUCGGUCCAUGCUUGCCCUUCUAGGCCCUUUAGAGUAACUAGCAAGAUCCACCAAAAAGACGGAACUACGGGUGAGAGAAGGAACUAUGAUAAAGCUUUAGUGGAGUUUCCUGGAAUCCCUUCUGGCGAACAGAAAAGAGAGAUACGAAGGAGUAAUGACGAAAGGUUGAUUGUUCGUCGUAUGUUCAGUGAUGGUGAGCCUUCAACCAAUAAGAAAUACCUGAAAGAAGAUGCGUAGGCCUUCAAUCAUGGUGCAAUGAAUAUCGUAGAUAGAGUGAUGGAAGAAGUUCGAUCUCAUAUAGCUAGCUGGAGUCUUUCCUUUCAAAGUGAAACGAUUUUCCUUUUACGUUGAGAUAUUUGAAUUGGAUUUUCUUUCACCACUACUAUCGUAACGCACAGAAAACACUGACGUUUCCGCUCGCUUUCAACCACUGCCACUUUACCUGAGCACUGUGACGCAGUCGGUCAAGUAUUGAUUUUCUACUAGUCAAGGACUUAUGAGAACUGAAAAGAAAAAAACUAGGCAAAGGAAUUCUCAAAGUUCAUUGAGUUAAGGGAGGACCAUUCGUGGGGGGUUCGUGGAAGAGUUGGGUUCGAUUCCCUUUAUACGCGAUGUGGCGAAAAAGACUGAUUCAACGAAAUAUGCCAUGCCUGCAUUAAGAUUUAAAACGUGUCGUCUACUUCCAGGAAAUGUUCGGAACAGAGAACUUUCUCUAAUCUAACGUCGCAUUCUCCGAAGAUUGAGGAACAAGAGGAGAUCCAUUAAAAGAAAUCUUUCUUAGAGAGAAAAUCUAAACAGUAACAUCAAAUCACAAACUACACGAAAGUUGUCCCUUUAUUAUGGGGAUUUACCCAUAAGGGAGAUGCACAGAGGAAGAAAACGAACUUCAUAUAUCCCUUUUUUACUCAAUCAAGAAACAAGAUCGGACGUGAUUCCGGUUCGUCUCCGUUUUAGUGACACUCUUCCUCAAGCAAGGCAGCCGAUAAGUCAUCGAAGGGUUUGUUUGAAUAAUGGACUGGUAACCAUUACUCAUUUGAAAGUUUCCCACGGUGAUCUAAUAUCUUUUAAAGAAAAUGACACGAGAACCCGCGGUGAAGAAAUAAGGAGAUCUUUCUAUAUCGACAUAUCAGUUGGAAAAAUCAUAGGCAAAUUCCUACCGGUCAGAAUCUGGAGAAGAACAAAAACGGAAUGGUUCCGCUUACUCACAACUCAGAGGGGAUGCCGCUUACUACUCAAAUCCGGGUUUUUGCAAGAGUUGCGUUCUUAUAUGCAAGAAGAAGACUUAGAAAGAACAAAGAAGUUUGGAUCCGCAAAAGUAUGCUUAGGCAGUUCCUUCGCUGAGCACAACAGAAUGAAGAGGAAUUUGUUUCAUUUCAAAUACUUCUUCUUAUUGAAAAGAAGGAAGGAGGAAGAGGAAAACCGAAAAAGAUCAAUAAGUCCUUUUGUUUACAAGUCUUCUUUAUAUAGAAAUUCGACCUAUUGCUCCGGAUCCCCGUUUACUAGGAAGAUAAGAAUCAAAAGGAUCGAACUACCUACUCAUUAUUCGGAGGUGAAUCAUAGAACACUAAAAGCUGUGGUAUCUUAUGGACCUAACAUAGGUCACAUCCCUCACGACAUAAGAUUGAAAGAUCCAAACCUUCCUCUUCGGAGUGGAAACGGACGUGGCCAAAACAUAUAAAAAAAGAUCGGCCUAGUCGCUCAUAGGGACAUAUCUAUCCGGAUAGAGGAUAGUCUAGAUCAAUUUUUAGAAAAAUCUCUCUCUAUAUAGAUAGGUAUCUCUAUGGAUAGAGAUAAAGAUAGGGAUCCCUAUAAAUCGAAAUAUAUGGAAAAAAGUGCACUUUUUGACUACUACUAUUUCUUAGACUUUUUCAAGGAAACAUCGUUUUUUCGAUUUUGACUGAAUUGGUCGGAGCGUAGACGAGCGAGCAGAGCCCAGGAAAGACCGCUUAUCUUUUUUAUAUCAUAUUCUUUUUUUGGCAGAGUGGGAGCACUCGACGAGGCCUCUACGACAGAAGAGAUUCUUCCCCGUUUCUGACCGGACGAUUCCAUCAAAUAAAUGACACCCUGUAGGCACGGUAUAAAGAAGAUACUACUUACAAAAAGCACGUUAAUAGAGAUUAGAAAAAGCAUGUUAAUAGAGACUGUCAUUGCUUUGCUUAAACAAGAGAUUCUCAUGAUCGGGCCUGACCUGGUUGACCCGAUCAAACUAUUUCACUUAUGAUCUGGCCUGGUUGACCCAAUCAUGAUAUUGAAGGAUGGGACCUUUUCUCAAAGGUUGGAACCGUGGCCUCGGCACACAGCCGCUUGGGUAGGCCGAAUGAUGCACGUCGCAUGAUCCUAGCAUGGCGCCACAAACGUGCGGAGUCCGAUAUAUAGCAUCGUCAUGACCGCGAUGACCACCGCGGCCGAUACUGCGAGCGCUCACGCUCCCCGACCCCAGACGGCCCA
rnacentral:lncRNA from 1 species